rnacentral:rRNA from 1 species
GAUGAACGCUGGCGGCGUGCCUAAUACAUGCAAGUAGAACGCUGAAGGAAGGAGCUUGCUCUUUCCGGAUGAGUUGCGAACGGGUGAGUAACGCGUAGGUAACCUGCCUGGUAGCGGGGGAUAACUAUUGGAAACGAUAGCUAAUACCGCAUAACAGUAGAUGUUGCAUGAUAUCUACUUAAAAGGUGCAAUUGCACCACUACCAGAUGGACCUGCGUUGUAUUAGCUAGUUGGUGAGGUAACGGCUCACCAAGGCGACGAUACAUAGCCGACCUGAGAGGGUGAUCGGCCACACUGGGACUGAGACACGGCCCAGACUCCUACGGGAGGCAGCAGUAGGGAAUCUUCGGCAAUGGACGGAAGUCUGACCGAGCAACGCCGCGUGAGUGAAGAAGGUUUUCGGAUCGUAAAGCUCUGUUGUAAGAGAAGAGCGAGUGUGAGAGUGGAAAGUUCACACUGUGACGGUAUCUUACCAGAAAGGGACGGCUAACUACGUG